ensembl:snRNA Gm22157 predicted gene, 22157
GUCACUUCAGUGGCACAUAUACAAAAACCAGAACGACACAGAAAAGACUGGCAUGGUCGCUGUGCAAGAAUGACUCAUCAAUUGAUGAAGUGUUCAGUAUUUGG